rnacentral:lncRNA from 1 species
UUCUCAGCAGCUGAGAAGGUACCCUCUUCUCCAGAUAUGAAGACUCCUCCCCUCAAUCAGCCAGCCACUCACCAGCGGACUCCGUACCCCAGCCCAGCUCCCUUCUGCACCACAAGAAGAUGGGUGUCCAGGAAGGUGCCCUCAAAGAAGGAUUCCUCUGACCUGGCCUGUACCACCUGGAGCACUGGGCGCUGCGGACGAAGCCAAGUGCUCCUCCAGUUUAGGGGCAAGAGCAAGUCGGCUGAGAGCAUUCCAGCAUGGCCCUGGGUCCCGUAAAACAAAGUCCAGCUGGAAUUCCUCCACCUCCUGUCUUUUAACCCAGAAAAGCGCACAUGUUUUCUUAAAAGAAGACUUAAGUUUUUAUGAUCGCCUCUGUCUUCUCCUUUGUGUAAAGGACAAAUGCCCUAAGUCCUUUGUGCCCAGGUCACACAGGAGGGAGGAUGAUGGGCCAGGUAAGCGGGUGGCAUGUGGACGGGGCCGCAGAGCAGAUGCGCUGAGUCCUAACCGUUUGGCUUCCCUGUCUAAGAAUUUGUGUUUUUCCAAAUAUGGUGGAUUCCAGACAUUUGAACUCAUAAACGGGGGAAAGGCUUGAUGAGGGUGAAAGCCUGUGCCCAGGUCCCAGACUGGACCUGUCACCGCAGAGGCAGGUCCCUAGGCUGGAGGGAGCUGGGGUCCUUUCCUGAGCUGCUGCCAAGCAACACCCGACCCCUGGCUUCCCAGGAGAGGUGAACUAAGUGCAUCAUUGUCAUCAGGAGUAAAAACCUGAAUGCUGUUAUUUCACUAUUUGCUAAACUCGGCAUUAUCCUAGAUCAGCCAGUGGGGAAGGUGCUGUGUGCAGGGUUAUUCAAGAAACCCAAAAGCUAGUGCGAGGAGCUGGCAAAUGGGCUAAGGUUACCGGGUGGCCCACAUGUGCGUCCAGUCUGUCCCCUGUCAUCCUCGAGCACCUGAGCCAGCUCCUUCACUGCUCUGUCACAGACAGUGACACAAACACCUGCUGGCUGCCUUUGCUGAAAGACAGCUAAGUUGCAGGAACAUGAGAGGUUUUCUCUUCACUCAAGGAUAAAAUGUCUUGACUUUAUAGAGGUUUUGCUUACAAAUCCCUCCUGUCCAGAAAGAGUCACAGGGUCUGGUUGUUCACACCAGGCUCCUCAGAGCAAGGAACCUGCCCUCCAGAGGCCCAGGCCUGCUCUCAGUGCCCCAGGAACACCCCCCUCCCCCACCACCAAGAAGAGCAGGACCUGAGUUACUAGAACUGCCUCUGAGAAGCGUCGACACUGGAUUAAUUUUUUUUUUUUUUUUGGUCCUUUUAGGGCCACACCUGCGGCAUAUGGAGGUUCCCAGGCUAGGGGUCUAAUCGGAGCUGUAGCUGCCGGCCUACACCACAGUCACAGCAACGCAGGAUCCGAGCCGCAUCUGUGACCUACACCACAGCUCACGGCAAUGCUGGAUCCUGAACCCACUGAGCAAGGGCAGGGAUUGAACCCGAAACCUCAUGGUUCCUAGUUGGAUUCGUUUCCACUGCACCACGAAGGGAACUCCUAGAUUAAUUUUUUAUAAAUAGUGCGUCCUGGAAUACAUUGUUUUCAAAACAAUCUAAAAAGACAAUGAAAAGAUUUACUACAAUGUCUGUAAUGUUUUUCCUUAGGAAAUUUUUACCCUAAACUGGCUUCUUCUUUUUUUUUUUUGCUUUUUUAGUGCACCUGCAGUAUAUGGAAGUUCUCAGGCUAGGGGUCAAAUCAGCUGUAGCUGCCAGCCUAUGCCACAACAACGCCAGAUCUGAGCCCCAUCUGCGAUCUACACCACAGCUCAUGGAAACACCAGAUCCUUAACCCACUGAGCGAGGCCAGGGAUCAAACCUGUGUCCUCGUGGAUGCUAGUCAGAUUCGUCUCCUCUGAGCCAAAACGGGAACUCCUAAACUGGCAUGUUUAUGUAGCUACCUGUUUCCAUAUUGCUUUUGGAGAAGUGGUCUCUAAAGAGGGAGGAACCCCCCAAAUUAGUCUUGAUAUUCCUUAGAACCUUCAGGAAAGAUUGCAGAUAAGUAAAAUAAGGGAGGAACUGCAACAGUGAAACCCCUCAAAGUGUUCUCAGGUGGAAGACAGCCUGAUGCAAGCCUUCCAUUUUUACUUCAGAGGUUUAAACCUUCAUGGUGCUAUUUAUUUAUUUAUUUGUCUUUUUGCCAUUUCUUGGGUCGCUCCUGUAGCAUAUGAAGUUUCCCAGGCUAGGGGUCUAAUUGGAGCUGUAGCUGCUGGCCUACGCCAGAGCCACAGCAACGCAGGAUCCAAGCCGCAUCUGCAACCUACAGCACAGCUCACGGCAAUGCCAGAUCCUGAACCCACUGAGCAAGGCCAGGGAUUGAACCCACGACCUCAUGGUUCCUAGUCGGAUUCGUUAACCACUGCACCACGACGGGAACUCCCAUGGUGCUAUUUAUUUAUGUUGUCUUUUUAGGGCCGCACCUGUGGCACAUGGAGGUUCCCAGGCUAGGGGUCGAAUUGGAGCUACAGCUGCCAGCCUACACCACAGCUCACGGCAACGCCGGAUCCUUAACCCACUGAGUGAGGCCAGGGAUCGAACCUGCGUCCUCAUGGAUGCUAGUGAAAUUCGUUUCUGCUGAGCUAUGACAGGAACGCCCCUUCACGGCUUUAAACCUUCAGAGUUUUAAAGCUUCAUGGCUCAAACCCCACUGCUAUGAACUACCACCAAAAAAGGAAAAAAGGAAGGAAGGGAAGGAGGGAGGAAGAAAGGAGGGGAGGGAGGGGGGAAGUUUGCCUUGAACAAACUACAUGAAAAUACAAAAGUGACAAUUUCUAGCUCAUCUAGUUUGUUUCAAAUGCACAAAAUUUAGACAGUCUUUCAGGAACCUGUGAAAACAGCAUGGCCAGGUUCUGUGGUCUGAACUUUGUCAAGCUCACAGCUUGCUGUCCUAGGAGCAGUGGUCUUUGGAUUUUCUGAGCCUGGACUGACUUUUUUUUUUUCUUUUUUUGUUGUCUUUUUGCCAUUUCUUGGGCCACUUCCGCAGCAUGUGGAGGUUCCCAGGCUAGGGGUCAAAUCGGAGCUGUAGCUGCUGGCCUAUAUACCACAGCCACACAAUGCAGGAUCCAAGCCACGUCUGCAACCUACACCACAGUUCAGAGCAACGUCAGCUCCUUAACCCACUGAGCAAGGCCAGAGAUCGAACCCACAACCUCAUGGUUCCUAGUCGGAUUCGUUAACCACUGAGCCAUGACUGGAACUCCCCCGACCGACUUCCUAACGUUCCCUGCACUUGAGCCAGAUGCCUGACCAUUGCGCUUGGAAGUAAAUGGUAACAGAACAGAGUGAUCCAAAGGAAGGCAGCUGGACUCUCUUUCCCUCACACAUUGGGUCUAAUUUUCCACAAAAUCACAAGAGGAGCUGCAAUGCUUCACAGUAAGCACAGCACAGGGUUUAGCAUCAGGACCGCCUCAGUGGCCCUGUUUGCGUCAUCAGAAGCAAAAUGUGGUCCCUGAAAGUUGGGAGGCAGGUCCAACACUUCACUGAAAGGCAGGGGUGAAAAGUCAUUCCUGCCUCCUCCCGGGUUGUUCCUCCUUCCCAUCCCCCAAACCCUCUCCCACUCAUUCACCCUCCCCACUGGGAUGCAACCCUGGCUGUUGUCCCAGCAGUGUCAGAGCCGGGGGUCCCACCUUGUGUUUUUCUUUUCCCCACAUUCACUAAGACGAUUUUAGGAUCCACUGUACAGCAGAAAAGUAAAGUGUGAUUCAUGCAAAACUACAUAAUUGCUUUCCAAGUGGAAGAGGGGAAGCCGGAUGUCUUCAUGCAAGAAGCCUGCGAGUCCCAAGUUCUGUCAGCAGGUGGCAGCAUUGCCUGCGAGCUGGAUGCUCCCUAGCAGGUGCCUUCGGGCUUCCUCCCCACCAAGAACUUCCCUGGGCAUGAGCUGGUGAGAGAGGAAUCUCACGUCGCCAAAAAGAUGAUAUUGAAUUUGUAAGUAUCAUUUGGUUUGGGAUCAGGUAACAGAUGCACCCUUGUGACUGUUUCCCCUGAUGCAGCUGGCGGGAAUCAAACACCAACCUCUAAUUUUUCUUUGAAGACAGUCUCAUAUGAGUCCUGUUAAAUUGCUGUACUGGGGGAGUUUGGGAGAACAACUUGGGAAAAAGUUUACGAUCAUACAUGAAUAAAAAUAUUCUCUGAUUCGACCCCCA